UACGUAGGGGACGAGCGUUGUCCGGAUUCAUUGGGCGUAAAGCGCGCGUAGGCGGCUCGGAAAGUCGGUCGUGAAAUGCCGGGGCUCAACCCCGGGACUGCGUCCGAUACUCCCGAGCUGGAGGCAGGUAGGGGAGAUCGGAAUUCCUGGUGUAGCGGUGAAAUGCGCAGAUAUCAGGAGGAACACCGGUGGCGAAGGCGGAUCUCUGGGACGGUACUGACGCUGAGACGCGAAAGCGUGGGGAGCGAACAGG
rnacentral:rRNA from 1 species